CAAGUCAGUGAUGUCCCCCAGCUGUGUUUGCUGCUCCAGUGCAGCGCUGAACUUAAAUUCCUGUUCAAUCCAAGCGUGCCCUCAUCCCUCUGCGAUCCCAACAGCCAAACAAUUUGGGAGUGACUGUAUUUUGUUUCUUUCUACACAUUCCUCUACUGCCUCCUCAGAGGUCAUCCUGUAAAAACAGAUGUUAAGUCUGCCAUCCCCUCUUCAUACUGGUGUUGCCAAAAAAGCACCAGUCCAUUCCCAAAUGGGGAGAAAUCCCAAAAGAAAAGGGAUUUCUGGUUGCACAGAAGCAGUCGGGAUGGAAUGCAGGCAUAGCUUUUUGUGCUGAUGCUUCUUGUACACAAUGGAUCUUUUGAGCUCCCUGUAAACCUCCAGGUGCUGCUGAACUGCAUGGAAAGUGCUCCCUUGUGCUGAUACUUGAAAUUGGUUAAUGUUUGGUAUUCACAGAGCGGCGUCAGCCCUGCAUAUGCCCCGGGUGGUGCUGAGUGCUGGGGAGAUCCUGCAGACCUGCUGCUUAAACCACACUGAUAAAGUCUCCAGGCCUCUUCCUUGGGGAGGAAGGUUUUCUCCUGUGGGACACAAUACCCCAGCUGGUGUUUGCACUGAGACCAAGAUGUGGAUCUGGACCCCUUGGAGACUGAUAUGAGGGAAUUUAUCAGCAGAUAGCAGGUGAGUGAAACUAGGUGUUUUCUGAUAGAUGUGACUGUGAUUUAGAGUGAUUGAUGUGAUGGCUGCUGUCAAUUUGUUUGGCCAAAUGUCCCAAGCCUGGAACUUGGGGCGUUCAGAAAGAAUUUCUUCAUGGAAAAGGUUGUUAAGCAUUGGAAGGGGUUGUUAAGCAUUGGAUGGAGUCCCCAUCCCUGGAGGUGUUCAAGGAAAAACUGGAUGUGGCACUCGGUGCUCUGGGCGGGGUGACACGGUGGGGAUUAAUCACAAGUUGGACUGGGCUGGAAAAGACUUUCAAGAUCAUCAAAAUGAUUCAGUGAUUCUGUUUUAUGAAGGGUCCCUGCUUCUUCCUGCUGUGGCUUUGAGGCUUACUGUGCCUUGGGAUCUCCCUUGUUCCUCUGACAGCUACAGGUGUCCGUGGGGAUUCAGGUCUUGGCUUUUCCAGGAGGUCAAAUUCACUGUGUUAAGGCUUGGCUGGAAAAAUGAGUACAAAUCAACUAUAAGCCAUAAUCUGGAGCGAGUCCUCCUGCUUAACUCUUGGGCUUUCUGGUGAAAGCAUCUCCACGUGCCUUGGAGGUAGGCACUGAGCAAAUAAAAAUACAUCUGCUCUGUGAGAAAGGCUUUAUUUCUCUUCUUCCAUUGAAAGUGCAGUGCUGCUUUAUUGUUCCUCAAACACAGCUUUCCUUUUAUGAGCCAUAAAUGACGUUCAGGUGUAGCACAGUGACUUUAAAUCAGCUCCUCUGGCAUUAUGAAGAUAAUGUACUGUAAGAAACACCCAACUGGCCCCUUUCUCCUUGUGCUAAUUCAUGGUUUCAGUGCUGCUGACUUUAGGUACUCUCCUUUCACGAGUUCACUGAGCAUAAAAGCCAGUUAAAAUUCCUAAGAAGCAAGAAAUA